rnacentral:misc_RNA from 1 species
GAUGAAGAACGUAGCGAAAUGCGAUAAGUAAUGCGAAUUGCAGAAUUUCCGUGAGUCAUCGAAUCUUUGAACGCACAUUGCGCCCGCCAGUAUUCUGGCGGGCAUGCCUGUUCGAGCGUCAUUUCAACCAUCAAGCCCCCGGGCUUGUGUUGGGGACCUGCGGCUGCCGCAGGCCCUGAAAAGCAGUGGCGGGCUCGCUGUCACACCGAGCGUAGUAGAUUUUAUCUCGCUCUGGGCGUGCUGCGGGUUCCGGCCGUUAAACCACCCUUUUAACCCAAGGUUGACCUCGGAUCAGGUAGGAAGACCCGCUGAACUUAAGCAUAUCAAUAAGCGGAGGA